rnacentral:rRNA from 1 species
GCUCGGCCAAAGAGGGGAUCUUCGGACCUCUCGCGUCAAGAUAUGCCNAGGUGGGAUUAGCUAGUUGGUGAGGUAAUGGCUCACCAAGGCGACGAUCCCUAGCUGGUCUGAGAGGAUGAUCAGCCACACUGGAACUGAGACACGGUCCAGACUCCUACGGGAGGCAGCAGUGGGGAAUAUUGCACAAUGGGCGAAAGCCUGAUGCAGCCAUGCCGCGUGUAUGAAGAAGGCCUUCGGGUUGUAAAGUACUUUCAGUUGUGAGGAAGGGGGUAACGUUAAUAGCGUUACCUCUUGACGUUAGCAACAGAAGAAGCA